ACCACCACCCAAAUCUUCUUUCAACCUUGUCCUCGUCCCUAGAGAGAGAAGCAGCAGCUUGAGAGUAGAGAGAAGCAUCCCAACAUGCCUGGAGGAGGCGGCCCAGGCCCCCAUGGUGGUCCAAGAGGGCCCGGAUGCCCAGACCCACAUCACGGACCACCUGGAGGGCCUCUUGGACCCCCAGGCCCAGGUCCACAUCACGGACCGCCUGGCGGACCUCAGGAACCACCGGGCGGUCCUCCUAAGCCGUCCGGCCCAGGUCCACAUCACGGACCACCUGGCGAACCUCACAGACCACCAGGCGGGCCUCAUGGGCCACCAGGCCCAGGCCCACAUUGACCGCCUCGCUAGGCCACUGGUUCAUGCAUGCCGCUCGUAUAUAUCCUGCAUGUAUGCUGGUAGUAUCUAUGAUUAUGAGAAUAAGUGAGAAUGUUUGGCAUGCUUUGUUGAAUUCACUAUGUUCUCUUAUGUAAUAGCACUUCUUUAGUGUGCUGCACCGUGUGCAUUGUGCAAGUCAUGUUCUCUGGCUUCCUUUUAUCAUAAAAAAUUAUGGUUUGUCAAUGUAUUUUCUUUAUAUAUUUAAUGGGAGAACCUUACACAUGGUUUAAUAAUCGCCGAUUCGAUUCGAAAUUGCUAGAGUUUAAUUAUGAUAGAGAGGUUGGCU
rnacentral:lncRNA from 1 species